AAAAGUCUCUUGCCUCUUCGGCAGGUCCAGACUUUUUCCCGGACUCCCUCCUGGCCAGCUGUGGCGCAUUAGCCCCUUCAGGCUGUGUUCACUCCCGGCCAGCUGUGGCGCAUUAGCCCCUUCAGGCUGUGUUCACGCAGCCAACCCCAGUCCUCUCCCUGCGCUCUGACCUAAGCCCGAGCCUCAGCUCCCAGCCCCGCCCACCCCGGCGGGUGAGCAGACAAGCCUCUCGGGCUGGUGAGUGCCGGUCGGCACCGAUCCUCUGUGCGGGAAUCUCUCCGCUUUGCCCUACCCAGAUGCUGAGUUACGAGGUGACGGCAUAUUAUAUCAUCAUCUUCCUGGGGUGCGCUCAGGCUCUGAGGGUCAGAAUUCUCAGGACACAGCUUGGAGAAAACUGUAGAAGGGACUAAACUCUCACUCCCUUUCGAAACCAGACUCCUCAAGAACCACUACGUCCAGAGCAUACGUGUGGAGGCAUCAGAGAACGGACUGGAGCGAGCAGCGACGCAGGGACCAGGGAGACUGCCACACGACACAGCCAAGGAACCGGCAGAGCCUCAACAAGGGAAGGAGACCCGGCUCGGGAGGCAGCCGAACCAGGGGGAAUGUGGACGCUAGAGGAAGGGUGUGGGCUGCAGGGUCUCUCUCAUGCCUGGUGCCUGAAACUCUAUGAGCCUCAACUCAACCAACCAGGAAGGAAAGAAAACACAGACUCCCUGAGACCCGCCCACUUCUGGGACUCACAGAGUGACGGUUUCCUGGCCUGAGCGGAUGUAACAAGUAAUUUUGGUUUGUGUGAUCACGUUCCUUCUCAACAGUUCUUACCCCAGGUGUCAUGAAUUUCUUAAUAUCCAGUGGCAUCAGCUUCUUUUUUUCCUAAGACUGCGAACCCAAGAGGGCAGGGACCUGAUUUCCUUACCUCACCUAUAAAGCUGAGCACAGCAUCGUGAAACGAUAGCCAAUGUGAGCACACUUUUUGGACAGUGGAGUACACUUUCAAUAAUCUCUGAAGCAAUAAAGAACAAAUCAACGUCAUGUUCCAUUAGCAACCCUUAAAACGGGCUCCAUGAUCUCAUGAAUGCCAAGGCCAUGUACGCUUGGUCUGGUAGAUGGGAACUCUCUCUGGGCUUUUGCGAAAGGACAGGUACCAGGGGUUGGAUAAUCCUGAGAAGUACUUCCCCAAAGCAUCGUUAUCACCGGGGGGACAAAUGAACCAAAGGUUUUAGGUUUAAGACAGACACCUCCUACAGAACUUUAGGAUGAUGAUGAGAAUUCCAAGAAGGCAACUUUAUCUGUGAAAUCGAUCUUUAUGGUUAAUCCAGCCUUAAUGACAGUCCUGGUGCAAAGC